rnacentral:rRNA from 1 species
GGGGAAUAUUGGACAAUGGGCGCAAGCCUGAUCCAGCCAUGCCGCGUGGGUGAAGAAGGCCUUCGGGUUGUAAAGCCCUUUUGUUGGGAAAGAAACCGCACCGUGCUAAUCAGCGGUGCCUUGACGGUACCUUCAAAGGAAGCACCGGCUAACUUCGUGCCAGCAGCCGCGGUAAUACGAAGGGUGCAAGCGUUACUCGGAAUUACUGGGCGUAAAGCGUGCGUAGGUGGUGGUUUAAGUCCGUUGUGAAAGCCCUGGGCUCAACCUGGGAACUGCAGUGGAUACUGGAUCACUAGAGUGUGGCAGAGGGUAGUGGAAUUCCCGGUGUAGCAGUGAAAUGCGUAGAGAUCGGGAGGAACAUCAGUGGCGAAGGCGACUGCCUGGGCCAACACUGACACUGAGGCACGAAAGCGUGGGGAGCAAACA